rnacentral:rRNA from 1 species
GCUUAAGCCGUUAGGUGUAGGCGCAGCGAAAGCGAGUCUGAAUAGGGCGCCAGAGUUUGAUGUAUUAGACCCGAAACCCGGCGAUCUAGGCAUGACCAGGAUGAAGGUGCGGUAACACGCACUGGAGGUCCGAACCGAUUAACGUUGAAAAGUUACCGGAUGAGUUGUGUUUAGGGGUGAAAGGCCAAUCAAGCCGGGAAAUAGCUGGUUCUCCGCGAAAACUAUUGAGGUAGUGCCUCGAGCGAAUAC